AAAUUGUGAAUAAGAAAUGAUCCUACAAAAAUCUCUCGUGUUUUAUUUACUUACUCAUCUCUUUUGAAAAAAAAGGUCGUAUAAUUAAAAUAGCAUUGAUAAUAACCACAACCAAAAUGGAAUCUCCUACCUUCUAGUUAUCAUUUUUGAUAAAUUAAAGGAGAAAAGGGACCUUGCUCAUUUUUGUAGUGAUUUGGUUUUAAAUCCUUUCACAUAUAUAGGCACGUCCCAAGUUUGAAGAAGCAAAACCUUUCUUUUUCUUCUGAAUUAUUUUAGACUUGUAAUCACUAGUUUAAGGCGUUGAAGAGCUUUAUAGGGGGAGAGACUGCUGGAUUUCUAAGUCCUUUGAUCAAAAUUGUUAUCAGAAUAUCAACUAAGAGUGAGAUAUGGCUGAUCCGAUUUGGUAUAUGGCAAUUCUGCUUGACACCGUGCAAAAACUUGAAAGGCUGUUUCAUGAACACUAGUGAGAGUUAGGUGACAUGAGAGCAAGGGUGCUUUGUGGGAUUCGAAGGCUGAGGGAUUUGCUGCCUAAUGAAUUUCCGAUUGACAAUAAUAAUAAUUAGGUUAUGUAUUUUUUUUCUCAUAUACAAUUUAUUUUAUCAGAUUUACCUAAUGUUGUAAAUGUUUUGUAUCUAAUGAAUGAGAAAAGCUAUAUUUGAUCGACUAAGUUUAUUCUUAUUUUUUUUUC